CCUACGGGUGGCAGCAGUGGGGAAUAUUGGGCAAUGGGCGAAAGCCUGACCCAGCAACGCCGCGUGAAGGAAGAAGGCUUUCGGGUUGUAAACUUCUUUUCUCAGGGACGAAGCAAGUGACGGUACCUGAGGAAUAAGCCACGGCUAACUACGUGGCAGCAGCCGCGGUAAUACGUAGGUGGCAAGCGUUAUCCGGAUUUACUGGGUGUAAAGGGAGUGUAGGCGGGAAAGCAAGUCAGAUGUGAAAACCAUGGGCUCAACCUGUGGACUGCAUUUGAAACUGUUUUUCUUGAGUACAGGAGAGGCAGACGGAAUUCCUAGUGUAGCGGUGAAAUGCGUAGAUAUUAGGAGGAACACCAGUGGCGAAGGCGGUCUGCUGGACAGCAACUGACGCUGAGGCGCGAAAGCGUGGGGAGCAAACAGGAUUAGAUACCCGAGUAGUC
rnacentral:rRNA from 1 species